CCUACGGGGGGCUGCAGUGGGGAAUAUUGGACAAUGGGGGGAACCCUGAUCCAGCCAUGCCGCGUGUGUGAAGAAGGCCCUCGGGUUGUAAAGCACUUUCAGUGAGGAAGAACGCCUGGUGGUUAAUACCCAUCAGGAAAGACAUCACUCACAGAAGAAGCACCGGCUAACUCCGUGCCAGCAGCCGCGGUAAUACGGAGGGUGCGAGCGUUAAUCGGAAUUACUGGGCGUAAAGCGCGCGUAGGUGGCUUGAUAAGCCGGUUGUGAAAGCCCCGAGCUCAACCUGGGAACGGCAUCCGGAACUGUCAAGCUAGAGUGCAGGAGAGGAAGGUAGAAUUCCCGGUGUAGCGGUGAAAUGCGUAGAGAUCGGGAGGAAUACCAGUGGCGAAGGCGGCCUUCUGGACUGACACUGACACUGAGGUGCGAAAGCGUGGGUAGCAAACAGGAUUAGAUACCCUGGUAGUC
rnacentral:rRNA from 1 species